rnacentral:rRNA from 1 species
AUGCUUGAGCUUGGAGAUAGCUACUUCAACGAGCUAGUAAACAGAAACAUGAUCAUGCCGAUAAACAUACAUGCUGAUGGUAGGGUUGAAGCUUGUUGCGUACAUGAUAUCAUGCUCGAUCUUAUAUUUGAAUUAGCAAGUGGAGAAAACUUUGUUACUAUACUGGAUGUUAUCAAGGGACGCACACCUUUGGAAAAGAAGUUCCGCAGAUUGUCCCUCCAGAAGAGCAUGACAGAUCUCACCAAUGCUCAGAUAGCUACCACAAGCAUGUCACAAGUGAGGUCUUUUACGGCUUUUAGUCCUGCUGUUAGUAAGAUCCCCCCUCUCUAUAUAUUUCAAGUUUUGCGUGUAUUGGAUCUGGAAGGUUGCGAUCUUCGAAAAAGCCCUGGCAUUGAUCUUAGGCAUGUUGAGAAGUUGUUACAUUUGAGAUACCUAGGGUUAAGAGGCACAAAGGUUGGGAAGCUCCCGAUGGAAAUAGGUAAGCUACAGUUUUUGCAGACACUAGACUUGCAAUGGACCAAUUCAAAAGAAUUGCCGUCCAGUGUUGCUCAGUUGAGGCAUUUGAUGUGCCUUAUCCUUGAUUUAGGUAUGCCACUACCAAACGGGUUCAGCAACCUGACAUGCCUUGAACAGCUGACGGGACAUGGAGAGGGCAUUUUUACUGCAGACAACGCAAAAGAGGUGGGCUGUCUGAUCAAGCUAAGGGAGCUCGCCUUCAUCUGGAAUGGAUGGAGUCGUACGGACGAUCUGACAACGGUUAAAGCUUUGUUUGAGUCCCUAAGCAACAUGCAAAAAUUCGAGAGUCUAGAGAUCUCCGAUGUUGAUUCUUGGGUUUUUCAACUUAUGCUGAAGCUGGAUUGGGUGCCGCCUCCAAACCUCCGCAGGCUUAAAUUAGUAGGAGUUUUCUGGAACUUGCCUACAUGGAUUUGUUCUUCGUUGCUUCCCCUACUUUCCCACCUUGAUCUAACAACUAACAGGAAAGUGCAAUCCGGAGAUAUUCAGAUCCUUGGAAUGCUGAGGGCUAUCUAG